CCUACGGGCGGCAGCAGUCGAGAAUCAUUCACAAUGGGCGAAACCCUGAUGGAGCGACGCCGCGUGGGGGAAUGAAGGCCUUCGGAUUGUAAACCCCUGUCAUGUGGGAGCAAAUUAAAAAGAUAGUACCACAAGAGGAAGAGACGGCUAACUCUGUGCCAGCAGCCGCGGUAAGACAGAGGGGUCAAGCGUUGAUCGGAAUCACUGGGCGUAAAGCGUGCGUAGGCUGUUUCGUAAGUCGUGUGUGAAAGGCGCGGGCUCAACCCGCGGACGGCACAUGAUACUGCGAGACUAGAGUAAUGGAGAGGAAAGCGGAAUUCUCGGUGUAGCAGUGAAAUGCGUAGAUAUCGGGAGGAACACUCGUGGCGAAGGCGGGUUCCUGGACAUUAACUGACGCUGAGGCACGAAAGCGAGGGGAGCGAAAGGGAUUAGAUACCCGGGUAGUC
rnacentral:rRNA from 1 species